UACGUAGGUGGCAAGCGUUGUCCGGAUUUACUGGGCGUAAAGGGCGUGCAGGCGGUCUGUUAAGUUCAGGGUGAAAGCUCCCGGCUCAACUGGGAGAGGUCCUUGGAUACUGGCAGACUUGAGGGAGGUAGAGGAGAGUGGAAUUCCCGGUGUAGUGGUGAUAUGCGUAGAUAUCGGGAGGAACACCAGUGGCGAAGGCGACUACCUGGCCUGUUCUUGACGCUGAGGCGCGAAAGCUAGGGGAGCAAACGGG
rnacentral:rRNA from 1 species